GCCGAGAUAGCUCAGUUGGCUAGAGCACCUGCUUUGUAACCAGGAGGUCAAGGGUUCGACCCCCUUUCUCGGCUCCA
rnacentral:tRNA from 1 species